UCUUCCUCCCAACCGUGCGACUCCUCUAUCUCCAUCUUCUUCAUCUCCUUCUUCUUUGAAAAAAACCCAGCAACCAGCAAGCUGGAGAAGCCGCAUGCCUCCGCCGUUCACCGCCGCCGCGCACCGUCGCCGUUUCGCUUUGGCCGUCGCCCUCCGUCUUCCCCUUCCUCUCCCGUUGCGAUCUCUCUUCUCCAUCUCCCUUGAAUGCUUCGAGACCCAGCAGCAACCAGAGAAGUUCCGUCCGAAGCUGCACGCCAGCCGGAGGUCUCGCCGUUCGCCCAUCGCCGCCGUCGCGCGCGUUUGCCUCGCGCUCGCCCGCGCCUGGCCGCGCGCCGCUCCGCCCACUUCGCCCAGCUCGUCGUCCCGAGCUACUGUUCAGCUCGCGCAAGAGCUGCCGGAGCUCGUUCGUCGCCGCCAGCCACCGCCGUAGCUCCUCCACCCUUUCCGACCCGAACCGGCGCCGGAUCUACCCUUCCUCGGCCUCAAACCGCCAUGGACAGCAGUUGAAAAAAAAUGGGUAUGCAGCGGACGUUUGGCCCAUUUUGGCCGCCUUCCCGAGCCCGGAUGCUCGGCCCGCUUUGAGGAAAGUUGUUCUCCUCAGCGUCCCCGUCGUUUUGGUCCGCUCGGCUUGCUAAUCCGGUCCCUGAUGGACGGAGUGGCCAGAUAGCUUUGGUUGGCCUUGAGGAAUUGCAGAGGUGAAGGCAUAAGAUUGGAGAAUGUGUCCGACUUGUAGGUCGUAGGACAAUUCCUUUUUAAGAGCCGGUCUUUUGUUGACUUUUGGCUAUAGGCAUUCGUUUGUAAUUUCGUUGGUUUAUGUAAGUGAUUGGUAGUGAAAUUGUUUCCUACUUUUCUAUCCCGUAUUUUAUUGUCAGGGGUUUUAUAAUACGUUCGCUUGCGCAUUAAUAAAUCAAUGGGGUCGGCGACACUACCUGGGAAUGUCGCAUUUGAAUGACCAUGGUGGGAUGUUGACGCGCUCGGGGUUCGGGGCGUGACAAGCAACACCGGAAUUCUGGGUUUACCUGGAUUCUCCUAGUAGGCGGGCAUGGGAUGGAGCGACACAUUUCAUUUGAUGUGUUGGACUUAAAAAGGGUGCGAAGCAAGUUGUGCAGCGGAUGCAGGUUGUUGUAGAGCAGGUCUAGAGAUAUGAUUAAAAAGGCUUCUUGAGUAAGAGAUCAACAUGGAGAAUGUAAGUCCCCAUCUGACUUCUUACAUAAUGUGGACGUUUUCACAGGUUUACAAGGAAAUUACGUGUUCCUAGAAU